GUAGCUCAAACUGAAAAGCUAAUCAGUCCUCGUCGUCGUCAAGAAGUAGCCGUGUGAGUGAUUGGUUCAGCUUCUUCGGAUAAGCGCUUGUUUGCCGGCGUGGGAGUCAACGGAGCCAUAAUCAAAUUCUCGGAUUUUUAUUGGAGCUCCUUCACCGACGAUUUCCAUGGUAACUGACUUAUUGUGAGAAAUAGGAAAGAAAAUCUGGCAAAGGAUAUACAUAAAAACAGAAAAAAUGAGGAGAAGCAGCAGUCUGAAAAUCGCACUUCUUGGUAGGGGUUAAGGUAAUGUAGAGACGUGGGAGAUUGAGGAAAAAGUAGAUAAAUUUUUUCAGGUUUUCAUUGUUAUAUGUCCAAUUAGAGUGUGCAAUACUUCUUAUUCUGGUGCAAUAUAAUAACUGAAUCUUAAAAUAUAAUACCGUACUCCGCCUAAACCGACACAGGUAAAUGAAAAAAUCCUUCUAAAUAAAAAUCCGAUUAUUUCCAUGUUCCUUUUCUUACUUCAUGUUUUAUUUUUUAAAUUCAAACUUUAGGAAUUUAAUCAGAAUAUUUAAAUUCAUAACUUUAAUUUUUAAAACAACUCGAAGUUCUUUUCGCGAGAGAUAUUAUUCCGAGAAUUCUCUAAAAUAAUCUUAAUUUUAGAAAUCGUAUCAGUUUAAAUAGUUUAGGUAAAUACGAUAAAAUUGUAUAGUUGUCCUCCAACAUUCAGUUUUUAAAGAAACCGACAACAACAUAAUUCCCACCACGUGAUCUUGUUUGCGUGAGAAUUUUCUCUUAACACAUUUAUUGUCAACAAUUUAUUUUUUAUUUUCAACGUGAAUUUGAUCAUUCAAAAAUCGAUCGAUAGACAUUUUAUUUCAAUAAUUUUCAAGCGUUCGUGUAAAUAAGUAAACAGAGUCAGUUUUGCGUGAUCAUUUCCCAUCCGAUUCAAGAAAAAAUUGUUUGCCAAAGUUCUCACGCUUGACUACGGUAAGUUUUUGUGUGCAAUCUGCCGUCGAAUCGAAUGUUUACACCAUCUGCCCUUUGUAUGACUCUCUUCGUUUCCCACACUAUUUCACUUUUCUCUGCUACUGACUCUCAGACAAACCCUGAAUUUUAACUGAUUUCCUCUUGUUUUUCCACUGUUUUUUUUUAAACUGAACAUUUGAAAAUUUCUAAAAUUUUAAUGUCGAUUUGUCGCUUUUCUUUUGUUUCAUUCAUUUUUCUUUCGCUUCUCAUGAAAACGGCAAGAAUUUGGGAACAAUAAUUUUAGGAUUCUUUCAAUGAGCGAUCAUAGUUCAAACUUAUCACGAGCUCAAGUUACCAUGAAAUCCUUAAAGUCCACGAAAAUCGAUUUCAUAUUGCUAUAUUCUUAUAUAGAUUUUUGCAUUCGAGAACAUUUAUGUAAACUGAAACUUUAAAUGUUUUUCCUCCUCCGAAAUUUGUUUCUUGUGAAGUUUUCGUUAGCUUUAGUUUUCAUUUUCUCAACAUUGUCAGAUUUUGAAGUAAUUUAAACGGAAUUCCUUGAUCAAAAUCCUAAAAAACAGUUUUAAAACAAAUUUAAAUAGUUUUCUGUACAAUAAAACUAAACGUUUGCACAUUUGAAAAGUGAGUUUAAUUUUUAUCAGGAUCUGUUCUCUAAUCCGCUUUCUGUAAUCUCAAGUUUCACAAUAAGCUGCCAAUUUUAUAACUUUUUCAUAGUAAAUUGUUAUUCAAUAUUCUUCCUAAAAUUCAUGGAGCUCCACACUCCUCAUUAGCCUUCUGACCUUCGAACAAAGCGGCAAAAAAUGGCAGGAGCGCCACCUGUAGGUUCGAUUGACCUUGAAUUCCACCCAGCGCACCACUUCUUCGUUCGGUUCUCCUUGUGUCGCGGCCACUCGUCGAUCAUCUUUUUUGCGAUAAUAGUGUCUCAAUAUAUUAUCACUUUAUUAGGCGUAAUAUUUUCCAUAUCAUAUAAUAAUUUUAAUAUCUACAGUUCGUUUGUGUUCCCGCUUGUGAUAUUUUUUCUAACAUUGAUGACGUCAAUGUUCAUUGAAUUGAUUUUUAAAGCUUAAACUCAUAAUUUUUUCAUCACGCUCAUUUUCUGUUAGGUGAAUGUUCUAACACAAGCAAUAGUUCAAAUUAAAAGAAUGCUCAUUUUAUAAAGCUAACCUGUUAUAUGAUGAACACAAGGUGCGGCAUGUAUUUCUCUUCCGAUCGUUCACUCUCGUUCAAAAUGCACAAAUAUUCCCUCCCACUUAUUGCCAUCCAUCUGAUGCAGAUAAGUAACUCAUUUGCGAUAGUAAACAAGCCCUCUUUCUCUCUUUUUCACCUCUCAUUUUCUCACUUUCCUAUUUUCUGUGGAACUGUUUCAUUCAAAUAUAUAUUCUAAAUUUCAGGUAAAAUUCAAUUGAAAGCGCCCAUACAAGCAGUUUAGCUGGAAUAAAAGUUCAACUGGCAGUCUGCCAAACUAAGUGCCUUUGUUAAAAAGGUGAGCUGUGAAUUUUCAAAGCAGAUUUUUUUAAAUUUAAGUUAUUUUCAGAAAGCCAAAGGACUCGAAUUGAAUCGUCGGAUCAGUCAUCAUUCAGGCAACGAACAGUAAG
rnacentral:sRNA from 1 species